ensembl:lncRNA
AUUUGAUUUGAGUGACUGGGUGAUUUGUCUAAGUGAAAAGGGAAGUUUGAAAAAGAGAAAGGCAGUGCGUGUGAGACGAUUUAUGGCGUCUGAAAGAGGUUAGAGCAUUUAAAAGGUGUGUAUGGAAUAAAGGAGUGUGAAAUAUAUUUCUUGUGUGAUGAAAAGUAGGAUGUGCUAAAGUUUGAAAGUGCUUUUAAUUCAAGAAAUGCAUGAGUGAUGGUAUGAGAGGUUGAGUGUCUUUUUCUCUCAGUUCAAAAACACAUAAGCAUAUACACUUGGCUAAUUGUUUGGAUGUGUGAAAGAGCUCUAUUUAAAAGUGUGCAUGAAAUGAAUGUGCUCUGUUUUAGAUCAAGAUUUAGUAGAACUACUGAUCGUUUGUAGACUGUGAAAAUUCAAAGGGAGACAGAGUCUGACUGUUGCCUGCAGGAAGUCUCGGCGGAGGCUGCUGCAACAGGAAGUAUGUGUGUGUGGGACAGGAAAUGCAUGCCCAUAAAAGGAACUGAGUGUGUACAGAAAGAACACAGAGAGAUAGAUGAGUUAACUCUAGGCACAUGAAGCAAAUGAAGCCUUUAAGAAAAAUGGAUAUAUUACUAAUUAUAUGGUUUAGUGUGUCAAUACAGGUGGGCGUCUUUCAACUUUGCAACCUUGAGUUCAGCAGCAGAAAAGUAGAUUAAAAGAAUUGGGAGAAAAUAAGCCAGUCUUUGGCUCGAAAUUGUGCAGCUUGAGCUCUUACUUUGUCCUUCACCCCGAGAAGACACGCAAAGGACAGUCAAUCGCCUGAUGAAGACCGAUAGAACAUCGUGGACUUGAAUACAGCAGGCAAACGACAGUGCCACUGAUCCAUUAACACUGAUGACGACUGACGACCAGCAGCAGCAUGUAAGACUAAUGCAACAUGUACUGUGAAAAUACAGGCUGGGCAGUUGAACAGUGGGAUAAAGAAUUGUGGAAGAGCACUGGACAUUGAGUGAUAUUUUGCCAUGCUGGGACUUAAUCUGAAAGAAAGACUGUAAAGGAACAGAGAAGAAGACAGCAGCUGAGUUGAGACUGUGUUUGCUGGAGCUUUGAAGCCCGAACAGGACAUUGUGCAGAGAGGACCAGUGAGAGAUGAAGCUGGACGAGUUUGACUGCGAGAAUAUAGGAUAUAAUUGAAUUGAAAAUUGAAACCUGAACUCAUGAAUUGUUUAGGGAUGUCCACUACAGCAUAACAAAGAGGAGUAAAGCAGACUUGGACCGGCUCUCCACAGCAGCAGUCGGAAGAAAGUUAGAGGUUAACAUCUAUGGAUAAGUUAAGGCAAGUUUCUGGUUGAAUUGUU